rnacentral:misc_RNA from 1 species
GAUGAAGAACGUAGCGAAAUGCGAUACGUAAUGUGAAUUGCAGAAUUCAGUGAAUCAUCGAGUCUUUGAACGCACAUUGCGCCCGCCAGUAUUCUGGCGGGCAUGCCUGUUCGAGCGUCAUUUCAACCAUCAAGCCCCCGGCUUGUGUUGGGGACCUGCGGCUGCCGCAGGCCCUGAAAACCAGUGGCGGGCUCGCUAGUCACUCCGAGCGUAGUAGUUACAUCUCGCUCAGGGCGUGCUGCGGGUUCCGGCCGUUAAAAGCCUUAUUUACCCAAGGUUGACCUCGGAUCAGGUAGGAAGACCCGCUGAACUUAAGCAUAUCAAUAAGCGGAGGA